rnacentral:rRNA from 1 species
GAUGAACGCUGGCGGCGUGCCUAAUACAUGCAAGUCGAGCGCUGAAGAGAGGAGCUUGCUCUUCUUGGAUGAGUUGCGAACGGGUGAGUAACGCGUAGGUAACCUGCCGUGUAGCGGGGGAUAAAUAUUGGAAACGAAAGCUAAUACCGCAUAACAAUGGAUGACACAUGUCUUUUAUUUGCAAGGGGCAAUUGCUCCACUACAAGAUGGACCUGCGUUGUAUUAGCUAGAAGGUUAGGUAAUGGCUCACCUCGGCGACGAUACAUAGCCGACCUGGGAGGGUGAGCGGCCACACUGGGGAUGAGACACGGCCCAGACUCCUACGGGAGGCAGCAGAAGGGAAUCUUCGGCAAUGGGGGCAACCCUGACCGAGCAACGCCGCGUGAGUGAAGAAGGGUUUCGGAUCGUGAAACUCUGUUGUAAGUCGAGAAAAGGUGUGUGAGUGGAAAGUUCACACUGUGACGGUAGCUUACCAGAAAGGGACGGCUAACUACGUG